GACUUAGCGCAGAGGUAUUAUCGUUACCCAUGAGAUUUAUUUGAGGUACGAUUAUUGGUAUUUGAAAAAAAUCUAAUAAGUCUGAAAAGAUCACACAAUCAUUUUGAAGAGACUCACAAAAUAUAUUUGUUUCAAAACCUUGCGCGUUUUCUUAAAC